rnacentral:rRNA from 1 species
UAGGGAAUUUUCGUCAAUGGGCGCAAGCCUGAACGAGCAAUGCCGCGUGAACGAGGAAGGUCUUCGGAUCGUAAAGUUCUGUUGAGAGGGAAAAAGGGGU